rnacentral:lncRNA from 1 species
AUUGGGAGGGAGAGUGUGACCUUUCAUCCAAAGCCUCAGCGAGGCUCCAUUUGACUGUUGUAAGAUCAGAAUGAGCAUGCAGACCCACUGAGUUGACUGGCAAAGCUUUACUAUGGAUAACCACAGAUGCAACCGCAUGCUGUGUCUUUAGGAAAAUGGGAGCAAGUGGAUUGUGUCAGAUGUCCAAAUGGUAACCAUCACCUACUCAACUGGAGGAGACUAUUUUUGUGCCCGAUUUGCUUGCUGGAAACUGCAGAACUUCAAUGUCUGCAGUGAAAAUGGAAAGAAAAGAAAACCAGUUGUCUGCCUUGGUGAUGAGAGCAGAAAGUCAAGAGCAGCAAUAUAGGCAGCUAACAAGCAUUUAAUGGUGAGGGAACAAGAGAAGGGAGGAAAGGCAGGGGGCUCAAGGUCAUGGCCAAGAUAUGUUUUUCCUACUCAGAAUUAGGUCUGGGCCUGACCAUGUUCCUAUAGACCAAAUUCUGUCCUCCAGAAAUAGGUACAGUGACCCACACAUAAAAGGCAUUAUAAGCAAAUGAGGUGCCUCUUUAAUUCUUCGAUGAGCUCUAAAAGUUAUCUUUACAGUUUAGUUAUAGUCAGAGCAACUGUUAGAGAACCUUGGUUUUUUUCCCAAAGAAAAAGAGUUGCCACUGUGAGAAAUAACUGGGAUUUCCUGACAUUAAAAAAUAAUAACAGACAUAUUAGUCCCUUUAUUGUUAAGUAAAAGAAGGAAAUGGGCAGGAACCACUAUGCAUUGAAGAGGAAAGUAUUGAGCUUCCAAAUAUAUCCUGGGAAACAUGUAAUACUUCCCUGAACAUAGGGAAAUGUGGCUGAGAUUCUCAGCACAGAAGUAUGUUUGCCACAUGCAAAGCACAUAAUAGAAGUGAUAGGGACAGGGCAGAGAAAUUCUAGGCAGAAAAAGAUGGGUCCCCAGGGAAACCCCAUCCUUAUGCUGAAAAGCCUGAAACCACAGUCCAAAGUGAGAACUUAUACCCCUGUUUUCCUGCUCAAAUGUUGUCUUUUCCUAAAACCACCCAUGGCUCCCACUCCACCCUAUCCUGUGCCUAUAAAAACCCCAGAUUCAGCUGGUAGACAGGACUACAGCUGGACAUUGGAGAGAAGCAGCUUGACUUCAGAAGGACAGCUUGAUGGCAUAUAACUUCGGAGAAGCAUCCUGCCGGAGACAGCUGGGCUUCAGAGGAAGAUUACCUACCCACUCUGUCCCCUUUUCAGCUCCCCUUCCCACUGAGAGCUACUUUCAUUGGCAAUAAAGUCCCCUGCAUUUAUCAUCUUUCA